rnacentral:SRP_RNA from 1 species
GCCGGGCGUGGUGGUGCAUGCCUGUAGUCCCAGCUACUCAGGAGGCUGAGACAGGAGAAUUGCUUGAACCCAGGAGGCAGAAGUUGCAGUGAGCCGAGAUCACACCACUGCACUCCAGCCUGGGUGACAGAGUGAAACUCUGUCUCAA